GGACUCUACCCACACACUCACUGGACUCUACCCACACACUCACUGGACUCUACUCACACACUCACUGGACUCUACCCACACACUCAUUGGACUCUACUCACACACUCACUGGAUUCUACCCACACACUGACUGGACUCUACCCACACACUGACUGGUCUCUACCCACACACUCACUGGAUUCUACCCACACACUCACUGGUCUCUACCCACACACUCACUGGAUUCUACCCACACACUCACUGGACUCUCAAAUCAAACUGUAAUCUCUGCCGCUCAGUCAUGUUGUCAACAAGGCAGCAUGGUGCAUCUUCCUGAAAACAUAUAUUUUCCAUAAAAAUAGAUUUUUUUACAUUUUUAACUGAGUCAGACAACGCGUUUUUAUCAAAAGCAAUCACUUUUGCGAAAACCCAGAAUCCUACUAAUUACUUCACGCGCUUAAUUACGUUGCUUUUGUUUUGAGCCGAUUUCGCCUUGGGCUUUGGCUCACGCAUGGGAGGCAACCCGGUUCCAAAACAAAUACAAUAAACUUUCAUCUGGGCCAGAUUAAUCAAAUACCCUCAUUUAUACAUGAAUCCUGCAAAGAUACUUCUUGUUUCAAUUAGGUAUUUGGUCACAUUCGCAUGACUCAAACAAAAACACCAUAACGAUUGGUUGACAAUCGAGCCUCCCACAACACAGAUCGAUGGCUGCAUGGUGAAGUUGUUGAAGAGCAACUGCAGAAACUUGCAGAUGACUGCAGCAAAGAUCGGGUACGUUCAAGUAGAUCAAUUUGUCAAGUCGUUGGUCACAGCCUUUCAAAGUGUGUUGCAUUAUGGGGCAAUAAAAUGAUCUCACUUGCAUCAAUAUGUCGACUGCAUGAACUUUACAAAAAUCCUUUUAUUAAAGGUCAUGAAGUUUCAACUACGUUUUUUUCAGUUGCUCUUCACCAGCUUCAUCCUGAAGCCAUCACCUGCAUAGUGGGAGGCUCAAUUGUCAACCAUCAUAAGGUUGUUAUUGUUUGACCCACACUAAAGUGACCAAAGACGUGACUAAAAACAGGAAGCAACUUUGCCGCGAUUCAUAUGUGUACAGUGGAUAUGUACAAAUUAAUGUGAUAUUUGAGGCUCACACAUGAUUUUAAGGUUGUAAAUGUGUGAUAUGGGGUUGGAAACAUGUUUAUUUCGAUAUUAAAUAAAU
ensembl:lncRNA